UUCAGCGGGCGCGCGGGCGGCGGGCACCUCAGUCCCGGCUGCUGCGGCCCCUGAGCGGACCGAAGCGGCAGGUCGCCGCGGCUGAGGCGGACCGAGGCAGACCAGGUGGAGGAAGGGAUCGCCGGUGCACACCCGCCCGCCAUGAAGCCCCCCGCAGCCUGUGCCGGAGAUGCCCUGGACACAGCGGCCCCGUGCUGCGAGGUGAACUACCUGCGGUGGGACCUGAGCGCCCAGCAAAUAGGGGAGCUCACUGUGGAGCUCAUCGAGCAAACCAAGCGUGUGUAUGACCAGGUGGGCUCCCAGAAGUUUGAAGACGUGUCCUACGAGAGCACCCUCAAGGCGCUGGCUGACGCGGAGGUGUCCUACACAGUUCAGAGGAAUAUCCUUGACUUCCCCCAGCACGUCUCUCCAUCCAAGGACGUCCGGACGGCCAGCACAGAGGCAGACAAAAAGCUGUCUGAAUUUGACGUGGAAAUGAGCAUGAGGCAGGAUGUAUACCAGAGGAUUGUCUGGCUGCAGGAAAAAAUCCAGAAGGACUCGUUGAGGCCAGAGGCAGUGCGGUACCUGGAGCGACUGAUCAAGCUGGGCAGAAGGAAUGGGCUCCACCUGCCCAAAGACACUCAGGAGAAAAUCAAGAGCAUCAAGAAGAAGCUGAGUCUUCUGUGCAUCGACUUCAACAAGAACCUGAACGAGGACACAACCUUCCUGCCGCUCACUCGAGAGGAGCUGGGAGGGCUCCCGGAGGACUUUUUGAACUCACUGGAAAAGGCUGGGGAUGACAAGUUGAAAGUCACCCUCAAGUACCCACAUUACUUUCCCCUCCUGAAGAAGUGCCAUGUGCCGGAGACCAGAAGGAAGGUGGAGGAGGCCUUCAACUGUCGGUGCAAGCAGGAGAACUGUGCGAUCCUCAGAGAGCUGGUGACCCUGCGGGCCCAGAAGUCCAGUCUGCUGGGGUUCAGCACGCACGCCGACUACGUCCUGGAGAUGAACAUGGCUAAGAGCAGCCAGGUGGUGGCCACGUUCCUAGACGAGUUGGCCCAGAAGCUGAAGCCCCUCGGGGAGCAGGAGCGGGCCGUGAUCCUGGAGCUGAAGAAGGCCGAGUGCGAGAAGCGGGGCCUGGACUUCGACGGGCGCAUCAACGCCUGGGACAUGCGCUACUACAUGAACCAGGUGGAGGAGACCCGCUACAGCGUGGACCAGAACCUGCUCAAGGAGUACUUCCCCAUGCAGGUGGUCACCAAGGGACUGCUCAGCAUCUACCAGGAGCUGCUAGGGCUGACCUUCAACCUGGAGGAGAACGCCACCGUGUGGCACGAAGAUGUGAAGCUGUACUGCGUGAGGGACUCGGCCUCCGGGAAGGUCAUCGGGAAGUUCUACCUGGACCUUUACCCGAGGGAAGGGAAGUACGGGCACGCGGCCUGCUUUGGCUUGCAGCCGGGCUGCCUGCGGCAGGACGGGAGCCGCCAGAUCGCCAUCGCGGCCAUGGUGGCCAACUUCACCAAGCCCACCCCGGAUGCCCCCUCCCUGCUGCAGCACGACGAGGUGGAGACCUACUUCCAUGAGUUUGGGCACGUGAUGCACCAGCUCUGCUCUCAGGCGGAGUUCGCCAUGUUCAGCGGGACGCACGUGGAGCGGGACUUCGUGGAGGCACCUUCACAGAUGCUGGAGAACUGGGUGUGGGAGAAGGAGCCGCUGCUCAGGAUGUCCCAGCACUAUAGGACGGGCGACACCAUCCCCCAGGAGCUGCUCGACAAGCUUAUCAAGUCUCGGCAGGCCAACACAGGUCUCUUCAACUUGCGCCAGAUCGUCCUGGCUAAGGUGGACCAGGCCCUGCACACCCAGAUGUCUGCAGACCCAGCUGAGGAAUAUGCCCGCCUCUGCCAGGAGAUCCUUGGGGUCCCAGCCACACCAGGGACCAACAUGCCUGCGACCUUCGGCCACCUGGCAGGAGGCUAUGACGCCCAGUACUAUGGCUACCUGUGGAGCGAGGUGUACUCCAUGGACAUGUUCCACACGCGCUUCAAGCAGGAGGGCGUCCUGAACGGCAAGGUCGGCAUGGACUACAGGAGCUGCAUCCUGAGACCUGGCGGCUCCCAGGACGCCAGCGUCAUGCUGAAGCUCUUCCUGGGCCGGGACCCCAAGCAGGACGCCUUCCUCCUGAGCAAAGGGCUGCAGGUGGACAGCAGCGAGCCGCCGGCCUGCUGACACGCCAGGGCUCCGAGGGCCCCAGGCCGCGGGCUCAGCCCCGCCCCAGCUCCCGCCGCCCAGGGAAACGGGGUGCUUGCUGCUCAGGGUGGGGGCGGGGGUGGGGCGAGGAGAGGCGCUGUUCGCCCUCCCUGUUCGUUCCCCGCGUCCGGUCUCCACAGGCCGCCCUCGGUGGCCGGCCCGGGCUGGCGAGGUCUUCUCAAGGUGCCUGGAGAACUCUGAGCAGUCGAGCCCGCCACUUUGUUGCACUAACCCGUCCCUUCCCGGGAAGUUUUCUGAGUGAAAAAUGGUUCUUUGAAAUGCAGCCAUUAAAAAGGAAAAAAAAAAGAAAAGAAAAGAGUGAGACUGUCGGCCUGGUCCCUGACUCUGUCCCUCCUGCCACAGAAGAGCAGGCUGUCACGGGUGGAUGGAGCACUUACGGCGCUCGGUGGGGCGUCUCAGGACCGGGGUCGGGGUCCACACCUUCCUGGGCAUCCCCAUCCAGCAGCACCAGCCGGAGCCAGCAGCCCGGCGAGAGAUGGCCCGGUGCGGCCUCGCUGGUGAGCACGGCUUGCUUGUCUGGGAACCCACAGGUGGAUCCCGGGCUGGAUCUCGGGGCUGCACUGUUGCAUGAGUGGGGCCCCAGGUGCACUUGGGGCACAGGCUGGGCCAGGUGGGAGCCCGUGUGACCUGGGAAAGCAAGCUGACCUUGGCUGCUCACACACCCCGAACUUCCCGUGAGCUUUCCUGUCGGCCCCGCAGCAUGUGAGACGGGGUGGGGCUCUGCUUAAUCCCAGAGGGGCCCACGGGCGCCAGGUUAGGGUAAGGCACUGCCCAGCCCUCGGGCCAGAGUGCAGUUCACCGUGACAAAUAGCAUCACUGGGCCGGUGCUGGCGCCCUCCUGACUUCUGUUGAAACCGGGAGGAGAAAUUCUGUGUCCCCCGCCCCAGACUUGAGACUGGGGUCACAGGCUGUGGGCCGCAUGGAGCCGCUGGACGAGUGAGGCCGGGAGGCCCCGGGGGAGACCACAGCCUGCUCCACACGCUGCCUGGGUGCCCGCUCCAGCUUCGCGCUGAGCCAGUGAGUUCCCUUUCCUGCGUCAGCCAGUUUGAGCAGCCCUCUGUCACCCGUAACCCAGAGUUCUGCCCUUGACCCCGUCCCCGCCGACCCUGCCCUUCCCUCGCCCCAGGUAUGUGGCCGCUGAAGCAGGGCUGGCCAGAACAGACCGGCCUCUCAGCCUCCGAGGACUGUCCAGGGGCCCCCCUCUGACUUGGGGUGUUGCGGUAAUCCGGGCGGGCGGGUGCCGGGCGGGUGGCUAUUUGGAGGGGCGUCCAUGCGUUGUGUUCCCUUCUGUGGGUGCGUCCGCGUGUUCAUCUGGUUUGCUCUGGGGUUGGCCCCAGCUUGGGGCUGUUCAUAAAACUGCCGAGGACAUUUGUGUGCCGCCUUCACGUGGACGUCUGGUCGCGGGUUUACUUUGCUCUUUCUUGCCUCCUGACGAGCGAGCGGCUCUCCACACGUGUGUCUGCCAUCUCCCUGGUGAGGCGUCCGGGUCUCUUACCUGUCUCUGUCUACUGGCGGUUAAGUAGUUGGGACCAGAAAUAGUCGCAUGUUUGAAAGAUGGUUAUUGAUAAUAGCGUCGAAAACAUUACGCACCUGGGAAAAAGCUGGACAAAGACGUACGGCUGCGCUACAAAGAACCGGCGAGGGAGGGACACGUAGCGCGUUCACGGAGCGGAGAGGCUGGGAAGGCGCCGCUUCUUCCCCCGGCGGAUCGACAGACGCGAUGCAUUCCCAGCUAAAAUUCCAGCAGCCUUUUUUUUUUUUUUUUUUUUUUUU